GGUUACUUGUACACAUUUAAUAAACUGGCUACCUCUGAAAAGAUGUGAGCCUCCUGCUAGAUUUCAAGAAACUCGUGUAUAGUUUCAGAAUUACCACAAUGAUUGCUGGUUUCUGGUAAAUUCUCAAUCAUGAACAACACUCUGUUCAAUAAACGACCAUUGUUUGUGCUAGUCACUACCAUUUAGUGGCUUAGCUUUGUUUUGCAAGGCACAAGUUCACCCACAGCUACAGUUCCGGCCUUCCAGAUUUAUUGUCCCUUGUGUGCGCAGCAGGUCACCGACUUUACGUGACAAUGUGUGGAACAGUUUGCUUCAGAUUCAACGCACAAAGAUGUGAAGUAGAAGAAUGUGACAAAGCAGAAUCUGCUCUGGCUCAACCGGUGCUGCCUGCUCUUCUGGAAGUGGCAGCUCGUCUACCUUGGCCCCUGCACACACCUUGUUCCGCCUGAGCAACAGAGCUUGUGGCCAGGGUCUGUAGAUUCUUGAACGCUGACUUCCAAUCAGGCCUACAGGGUUUCUAGCAAUGGAGCCCAGAGGAAAAUCUGGUGCCACCGUGGACGCGAGUCUCUUAAAAGGGUGCUGUCACUCCAUGGAAACCUCGGGAUAUGAAAGCAAACAGUCACAACAGGAGUGCUACAGAUGAUUGGGAAAUAAGCUGUUCGGGACAACUUGAGGGGCCGCUGGCUGCAAGACGCACACCGAUCAGCAUGUGGAGAUUUGGUGAGGGUGCCACAAGCCAUGUGAGAUAGGCAGACGUAUAGCUACCUUCACAAUGUCACUGGAAGAGGCAAUAAAUGCUGCAAGUCAAGAACCGCAGCAAGGUACAAAUUUGAACUAGAUGGUGACAUUAUGGUGAAGCAACUCGAUGAACAUGGAAGACAGCUUAAGGACCCAACAAUGACUACCAAAGUGACGAUUCUUAUUGCAGCAACCGCAACGUCUUGGUCUUAAACAUUGUUUAUGCAAAAUUUAUUCCACAAACACACAAAGUCUCUCAUGUAAAAAACGUGUCCCCUGGUGGAAUGAGGAGUGCAGACUGGCACGAAAAAAACAAAGUGUGGGGCGUACUGCGUCACUGCCCAACUGCAGAAAAUCUCAUAGAAUUUAAACUGGUAAAAUCAAAGCGAAGACGGACACGGCGACAGGCAAGGAGGGCAAGCUGGGAGAGGUUUCCGUCUGGCAUAACAUCUUACAGGAUUCUAAAGUAUGGAAUUGCCUGAGAAGGCUAAAGGGGUAGGAAACCCAUCCAUUAUCGCUUGUCAAUGAACAAGGGAACAGCCUGGAAGACCAGGCAAACGCUCUCGGUGAAGAGCGUGUGUCUAGCUUGACCCAGUACUCCGAAUCAUUUCUCAAACACAGCUGAAAUAAAGGCACUCAACUCAGUGCACACAGAAUGACGCUUAUAACCUUCCUUUUAGUAUCGCCGAGUUAAGAGCUUCUUUGAACGUGUGUAAGAGCUCUGCCCCAGGGGUCGACAGAAUCAUGUAUGGCAUGAUUAAAAACCUCCAGACAGACACAUUAAGGACGCUCCUAGUACAUUUUAAUAAAAUUUUGACUGCCGCGUACCUUCCAGCUGCAUGGAAAGAAGCUGUUGCUUCCAGCUCUGAAGCAGGGUAAAGAUUCCUCCUCUGGUAACAAGCUACCGCCCAGUAGCGCUUACGGGUUGCCUGUGUAAGCUUUUCGAAAAAAUGGUUAAUUGCCGUUGUCUACAUUUUCUGGAAUCGAACAAACUGCUUGAUGCAUGCCAGUGUGGCUUCAGGGAAGGCUGGUUAACGACUGACCAUCACGUAUGCAUUGAGAGAAUCAUUCAUGAUGCCUUCAUUCGUAAACAAUUCUUUCUGUCGCUAUUCCUCGAUAUGGAAAAAGCAUAUGACACUA